AUUGAACGCUGGCGGCAGGCCUAACACAUGCAAGUCGAGCGGCUCGGCGGACGCGUGCGUAAUGCCUAGGUAUCUGCCUGUUCGUGGUGGAUAACGUCCGGUACCGGGCGCUGUUACCGCAUCCUCUCACAUUCGCCUAGGUCGGAUUAGCUAGUUGGUGGGGUAAAGGCCUACCUAGGCGACGAUCCGUAGCUGGUCUGAGAGGAUGAUCAGUCACACUGGAACUGAGACACGGUCCAGACUCCUACGGGAGGCAGCAGUGGGGAAUAUUGGACAAUGGGCGAAAGCCUGAUGCAGCCAUGCCGCGUGUGUGAAGAAGGUCUUCGGGUUGUAAAGCACUUUCAGUUGGGAGGCGUUACCAACAGAAGAAGCACCGGCUAACUUCGUGCCAGCAGCCGCGGUAAUUC
rnacentral:rRNA from 1 species